ACUUGGCACUCACGUCACUGUUGAUAGAGUCCGUUGUGAUUUAUGUGAGUACCUGCCUGCGAAGGCCUAACCUCACGGAGCUUUCUAUUUCUAGAAACACGUAGAUCAAUACAAUGCGUUGAUCAGCGCCCCAAAGCAUAAAUGAAUUCAGCACUCAUACCUUGGUUUCAAUUGCGACUCCACAUUGGACUAAAUGCCCUGAUUGCAUUUAGGUACAAACCACAACCACCACGAAUCUCCACAAACGGCCAAACCCAAUGAGCAGAUUGGAGAGUAAACUCCAAGGGCAAACUGCUCCCCGUUGUACCAGGUUAUAGUCUCUGGUGAGACUUUGCAGCUUUGCAAUUGAGCUCCCAAAAUCCCAAACUCAAUAACUGGUGACAUUUGUCGCUUGGACAACUUAGGAAUUAAUAUAAAGUCUAUAAUAUCAUUUCAAGCUGAGUAUUAUAGCACUAUUUCGAACAUAUGUAGACCAUGCUGGUAUUUAAACCAAGACCUGAAAUGUCAGACAGAGAGCAUGUGGAUUUUAGUCGCCUCUUACGACAGGCAUGCCUUACCACGGGUAUAUUCUUCCGCCUCCAACACAAGGGGCCCCCUACCCGCAGGGGGAGGUCACUGUUGACACUCAUAACUUUAAAGUUGUAGAUAGUUUUGUAUAUUUGGGAACCAGUGUAAACACCACCAACAAUGUCAGCCUGGAAAUCCAACGCAGGAUAACUCUUGCCAAGAGGUGCUACUUCGGACUGAGUAGGCAAUUGAGAAGUAAAGUCCUCUCUCGACGAACAAAAAAAACUCUGUUAGUCACUCAUAAUUCCCGUCCUGCUAUAUGGUGCAGAGGCAUGGACGAUGACAACAACUGAUGAGUCGAUGUUGUGUUGAGAGAAAAGUUCUGCGAAAGAUUUAUUCCUUUGCGCGUUGGCCACGGCGAAUAUCGCAUUCGAUGGAACGAUGAGCUGUAUGAGAUAAGUAUAUGACGACAUUGACAUAGUUCAGCGAAUUAAAAGACAACGGCUACGCUGGCUAGGUCAUGUUGUUCGAAUGGACGAAAAUAUUCCAGCUCUUAAAGUAUUCGACACUGUGCCCGCCGGUGGAACCAGAGGAAGAGAAGACCUCCACUUUGUUGGAAGAUCCAGGUAGGGAAGGACGUAGCGAAAUGAAGAAACGACUGGCGCGCUGUAGUUAACUCGGCUAUAAUCGCGUAAGCGGUGUCUACGCCAAUUAAGAAGAAGAAUAUUAUUAUUUAAUAUUGCUUAGUUGUUUAUUAAAUUUAAAUAAGAAAAUAUUCAUAUGCAUGAAAAGAUUGUUUAUACUCAUUUUGAUUUGAAAUAUAAUUUAUAGACGCUUGUUUUAAUUAGAUCUAAGAUUGCUAAAUAAAGAAAGAGGAAUUAUAGCGAAAGAGCGAAAUUUCAGCGAAUUGCUCAUAUUUGUUUAUUAUCAUAUGGUAGUGCUCCAUUUCCUCAUAAUUGUUAGCACAUAAAUGAUGCUCACUACGAUUGUAAAAAAUAAAUUUUAAAAUAUAGAUUUCUUGCUUAUAAAACCCGCAAGAAGUGUAAAUUGUGAAUUUGCUUAAAUUUUAACAGUUUAAGUAAAUGUAUUUGAAGUUAAAAAUGCGCAUAAAGAGUGUUAAAUGUAGUGAAAUAGCUUCUUGAAAUGUUCGAAUUUUGGUAAUUUUUGAACUUUAAAGUCGAAUGUUUCGGAAACUAAGCGUUUGCGGUACCUAUAACCCUAUGUAUUUUUUAAUCCUCUUUUCAACGCUACCUUCGGAAUUGUGUCCGAUACAAUGUAUUAAUUACCAAGAAUAUGGACAUACUUGCACUCUACGCGGUGUUUGCGUGGUAAGCACCCUUAGGAAAGACGAUUUAAAUAAAAAAUGCAGCAACUGUGGAAGAAAUCACACUGCUAACUACAGGGAUUAUCCUGUAUAUAAAGAUUUAAAAUCGAAGUUGUCACAGGGCAUUCAAGCACGUCGUAACCAAAUGUUACAAACACCCCGUAAUAAAAUUAUAGCAAUCCCAGAUAAAAGUUGAAAUCCCAUUACUUUUAAGAAUAAUACUAUGCAGGGAAGUUAUGCCAAUGUAGUGAAAGACAACACUGUACAAAUACAACUUCCGCAAAAUCUUCGAAAUGGAGGUAUCGAAACUGCGAAAGAUGAUCCAAGAUCUAAUAAAAUCACACAAUGAAAUGUUGCCAAAUUUAUUAAGUAAGAAAUGAGCAUACUAAAUAUCUGUAUAUGGAAUGCUAACGGUGAUAACCAACAUCAAUUGGAGAUUAUUACAUAUCUGUCUGAAAAAUAGCGAUGAAAUGUUUAUAUCAGAAACCGUCUUACAAAUAAAAAUAAUUUGAAUAUACCGCGAUUUAGAAUCUAUGUUACAAAUCGUCCGGAUGGAAAAGCGCAGGUGACACGGCAGCGUUAGUAAGAAAUCUGUUAAACUAUGCUAUGAAUCUCAUGCUACAGCAAUAUCCCUAAAAAAUCGGGGUUGUGACUUGAACCUUAUGGUUGUAUACAGCCCACCUCGAUUUAAAAUUACAGAUAGCGAGUUUAAAGAUAGCCUGGACAUAAUAUCUCAUGCUGAUACAUGUACAGACUUAUCAUCUGUAGUUGUGAAAAAGCGAGCUAGACGUGAAUGGCAAUUAAGUCGCUCCUCUUCAACUCUGCUUCAACUGAAACCUGCUGCACGUAAGUUAAAAAAAACGCUUAAACGCGAGGAAGAACACAACGCUGAGAAUUAUAUAAAGAAACUGAAGAAACAGUUGAAUGAUAAGAAGUAGAAGAAGAAGAUUGUGAAAAAUUAAUCAAGCAAAAGGGAGAUGAGUCGAAGAAUAAUUGUUAAGUUUCCCAUUCUUUAUCCUUAAAUUAUUCAAAAAUAUCGUGAUAAACUAUUUUUAUUCAUUUAAUGUCUAGAAUGGAUGACGAGGAGGGGGAGGCUCCACAUCAACGCGAUCCACUCAUGAAGACACCACACAUGCAGACAUCACACCACAACUCUACACUACCCAACGUCAAGUGAACGUCCAUCGUAGCAUCACGCAGCAUUAAUUCAUUUUAAAAUUCGAUCCGCAUAUUCACAUACAUACAUCAAAGGUUGAAGUACCUUAACCUUAAAUAAAUCGAAGAAAAAUAAAAAAAACCCAACCGGUUUGUGUCUUUUUUGUAAUAUUUUUGCGUGUGAAGUCUUUAGCGCCGAGGUAAGUGGUGCCUACGAGGAAGGAAGCAAACACAUGACAAUCAUGGAAUCUGGAAACAACAGAAUAAAACGCAGGAAAAUGUGUCAUUGGGUGAGCUCUUUUUCAAGGCAAGGAAUGAGUAGGGGAGGUUUGUCACCGAUUUUGAAAAGUUUAGAAAUGAUCCAGCUCGUUUCGUCGAAAAUUUCCGUAUGCCGCCAUGUGUAUUUGAUGAGCUUUGGAAGAUGCUGGAAUCACAUCUCCUUCCAAGGCGAAAUAGCAGACUGAACGAUUUCAUCCCUACUAAAGCCAAUUACCUGGCUUAUGGAGAUUUACCACGCCAUAUUGCUUCUUGCUUCCGUAUUAGUAAGCAGCACUAUGGAAGAAUCUGCUUUCGAUGCCCCACCAAAAUCUGGAAGUAUAUUUUAUAAUUACAAAGGAUUCCAUUCUACUGUUUUGAGGGCCACACGUGAUGUCAAUUAUAAAUUCACAUACUUGGAUGUUGGUGCUUACGGAAGUGAAGGAGACUCCAAUAUUAUGAAGAAUUCGACAUUCGGUAUCAGCAUACUUAAUGACAGCUGCCAAUAUCCGGCCGACGGCUUUAUCGAUGGCAAAAAAGUAUAGGAGACGACGCAUUUCCACUGUAUAAACGUAUACUAAAGCUUUAAAACAGGGGAUUGGGUACAUAGGGGCUUGAAUAGGUUUGUUAGAUUUAAAAAAUUUCUGAUCAUAAGGUGGCAUACACUAAAGACAUUAUUCUUGCAAAUUUUAAUCUCUUUAUACUAAUUGCUUCUUAUUUGUGUACUGGAAAGUAGAAAAAUCAAGAGGAAUUUAAAAUUCUGCUAUAUGGAAAGUAAGCGUGAUUAAUCCGAUUUCGCUCAAUUUCACAACGUGAAUACCCAAUUUUUUAGAAAUCUGUCAGUCGAGUCCCGAGAUAUGCGAUUUCACCAAAAAGUUGGCGGUACCACGCCCAUCGUACAAUUUGCACACCGGCUCCCAUAACGUCCUUUCAUACCAUCUCGGUGGUAAUUAGGAUUAUUAAUUAGUUAUGGUGCUUUAAAGUUUUCGGUUAAUGGCGAUUUGCGGCGCGUAGCAGUGGUCCCAUUACGCCCAUCUACGAACUCGAACUUUUUUUGUACUAAGAAACCUUCAUACAGAUAGACAGUCAACCGGAUGUCAACUUUUCUCGUGACCCUGAUCAUUUAUAUAUAUAUAUCUCUAUAUCUAUCUCGAUUAGUUUUAAGUGAUACGUACAACCGUUAAGUGAACGAAGCUAUAAUACUUUGCAGCAACUGGGUGCAAGAGUAUAAAAAUUAAUAUAAAACCAAAAAUUUACUUCUUUUUCCUGCUCAAUUUCCAUCUGAAAUAUAUAGAAACUGUUAUGUUUCUUCGCUAAACCAGUGUGGCCUAUCCAAAAUUUAUAAAAUAAAAGUAGUAAAUAUACUUACUGAAUUUCUUGAGAGCUGUUUAUUGCCACAAUAAAAUUUAACACCAGAAAACUUCUUGAGCUUUUCUUUAGCGUGUUUUGCAGGGAUAAUGGGACGCCCAACUUAUUCCAGUGUGAAAUAAAUAAGAAUUUUUGGGCAUUUUAAAUUAAAACACCCAUCAUUUAUUACGAUUGCAAAUUAUUAUAUGUAUAUUGGACUUUUAGUAUAUGACGAAACUACUUAAAUCCUUUUUAUGAUUUUAUGGUAUAUUAAAACAACUGACUUUUGAUCUCUCAAUUCUUAAUAAGGUGAAUUAAGCCUGUUAUUUCUCAAUUAUCGAAUGUUGUUAAUCAUUUGUAAUUGAAAAUUAAUUCUAUUAUGCAUCAAAUUACAAAACGUUUCAUGAAAUAUAUUUAAAUUUCGCAUUUUCUUUGAUUAUCAUUGUUUUAGAUUUUUAUUAGCGAUCUUGAACAGCGAUCAAAAGCUAACAAAAUGCGAUGAGCGUGAUUCACCACAUCUAGCUCAGAAGGAGAAAACUUAACAGUGCCGCUUGAACAGAGCUGAGCAUUCAAUGGAAAUUAUGCUCAGAAAUAUACAUUGUUGUUACAGACGUACUUAUGUUGGCCUUUUGCUUACAUAUAUUUUUAUACGUUUACAUGCCAUGAUAUAAGUUGAUAUGAUUAUCAUUUUGCGCAUUUUUACAUGCAAAACUGAUAACAUUCUAUUAAAAUUAUGGUGUUUUCAAAA